rnacentral:rRNA from 1 species
GACGAACGCUGGCGGCGUGCUUAACACAUGCAAGUCGAACGGAAAGGCCCUGCUUUUGUGGUGUUCUCGAGUGGCGAACGGGUGAGUAACACGUGAGUAACCUGCCCUUGACUUUGGGAUAACUUCAGGAAACUGGGGCUACUACCGUAUAGGAUCUCCUGCUGCAUUGUGGGGGUUGGAAAGUUUCGGCGGUUGGGGAUGGACUCGCGGCUUAUCAGCUUGUUGGUGGGGUAGUGGCUUACCAAGGCUUUGACGGGUAGCCGGCCUGAGAGGGUGACCGGCCACAUGGGGACUGAGAUACGGACCAGACUGCUACGGGAGGCAGCAGUGGGGAAUAUUGCACAAUGGGCGGAAGCCUGAUGAAGAAACGCCGCGUGCGGGAUGACGGCCUUCGGGGUGUAAACAGCUUUCGCCUGUGACGAAGCGUGAGUGACGGUAAUGGGUAAAGAAGCACCGGCUAACUACGUG